GAUCCUGGUUCAGGAUGAACGCUAGCGACAGGCUUAACACAUGCAAGUCGAGGGGCAGCACGAUGUAGCAAUACAUUGGUGGCGACCGGCGCACGGGUGAGUAACGCGUAUGCAACCUACCUAUCAGAGGGGAAUAACCCGGCGAAAGUCGGACUAAUACCGCAUAAAACAGGGGUUCCACAUGGAAAUAUUUGUUAAAGAAUUAUCGCUGAUAGAUGGGCAUGCGUUCCAUUAGAUAGUUGG
rnacentral:rRNA from 1 species